rnacentral:rRNA from 1 species
GGAGGGGUGCAAGCGUUAAUCGGAAUUACUGGGCGUAAAGCGCACGCAGGGCGGUUUGUUAAGUCAGAUGUGAAAUCCCCGGGGCUCAACCUGGGAACUGCAUCUGAUACUGGCAAGCUUGAGUCUCGUAGAGGGGGGUAGAAUUCCAGGUGUAGCGGUGAAAUGCGUAGAGAUCUGGAGGGAUACCGGUGGCGAAGGCGGCCCCCUGGACGAAGACUGACGCUCAGGUGCGAAAGCGUGGGGAGCAAACAGGAUUAGAUACCCUGGUAGUCCACGCCGUAAACGAUGUCGACUUGGAGGUUGUGCCCUUGAGGCGUGGCUUCCGGAGCUAACGCGUUAAGUCGACCGCCUGGGGAGUACGGCCGCAAGGUUAA